rnacentral:lncRNA from 1 species
AAAUUUAGUUUUUAGGUUUCCUUCUCCUCCCAUCCCCCCAAUAACUUAUUCUUAUCUUCCCACCUCAAGCAUCUACAUGACAUUUAGACUUCACAUGAAGUUUAUGUGAUACACACAUGCUCUUGAGGUUGGUGGAAAGUGGUUUUGGAAGUAAGACCCUUCACACAAUUGGCUCAGGCCAUUUUAAGGACGAGGGCUCUGCCUGGUCCUCCUGGUGCCGGGCAUCUCUUUGACAGUCUCUUGUGAAGCUCAUGAAACUUUAAAAAGAAUGAGCUUUAACAAGUGUUUGACCCUACAGCUUCCUCUGUAAGGCCUUAUAGUCCCAGUGGGCGGGCAGGACAAAGGCCCAAAACUGAAACUUGAUCUUAAAAUUUACCAUGGAAAGGAGGUCUUAGGCUCUUCUUUAAAUGUGUGUGCUUUAUCUGUAAGAGACUGACUAGCAGAAGUGGAUUCAAAGAAGACAGACCUUGACCAAAGAUGCUGAAGUACAAUAUUGGGGUCCUUGUACUCUAGACCCAUGCCAUCACGGUGUCAUGCUCAAGCUUGCAUGCAGGAGGAUGCCUUGUUAGAAAACGUGAUGUUAGCGGAAGACUGUCGGUCACACAGAUGACAGGCAUUGGAAACAGCCACGCCAUGGCUUCUUUGAGAGCUGCUUCCUUUUUCUGGUUGUGGACAAGGCUGCCUUAGGACUCUGCUAAACCAACAAAACCUUUAGAAUCUGGUGGAGCCAGAGCCUCUCCACAGUGGCUAAAGUUGUCAUUGAUCUUUUCUCUUCUCCUUUGUGUGAUCAUCACAGAUGCCAUUUCUGUUUUAUUGAUGAUUAUAUGAGACUUUUAAUACAUAAAUGAACGGGUAUUGGUGCCUCUUUAUUUUUAAAAGUUUGAAGAAAAAGAGCCACCUCAUAUUCAUAGAGUGUGUAUUUUGUGAGUAUGUAAGCAUUUGAUUGAAAAUAAGAAAGUUAUUAAGUAAAAUUUUCGUUUUACUCUUUCCACAACAGCUAAUGUGUAGGGAUACAUUAAACCCACACCAAAUCAUGAGGGGAUGAGAAUCCCCCCAAUCUUCUUCUCUAGGUCGCCCAUCCCACAGGCUGUGCAGCUCAGAUUCCUGUUUAUGCUGUGUUGUGUCCACCUCAGUGCUGUCAGCCUUUGGGACAGUGGCUCUCAAAGCCAAGAGCUCUUGGUUUGUCUGCCCAGUAGAAGCUGCUGGUAGACUACACUAGUCCUCUGGUUUCCCAGCACAACCCUCAUGCAGUGGACUGACAGCCUGUGUUGUCUGUUUCGUCAGCCAACUCAGGUUAUCUUCAGGGAAGGUAUGGAGGUGUGGUUUGUUUUGGUUUAUCUCCAGGAUGUAUACGGUGAAGACAAACCAAAUACUUUUCACCAUUGAACUAUCUGUAUAUUAUCUUUGGUAACACUAGAAUACUGUGGUCUUGGGGAACACACAGAGGAAACAUAGCAAGAAUCACAUACAAGGCUUGGUGUUUGAUAAGCGUGCCAGCUGACAGUUGUGUGUGCUACUGUGUGUACACGUGUUUACCAUGAACAGGUACAGGCUUCAUGAUUUUCAUACUGAAUUACAAUUGAGUAGAUACCAAAAACAGUGGCAAAUGUAUUUUAGUAACAGAUGAAGCAAUUAGUUUUAGGGUGAAUUUUUCACUGUUGAUUUUACUUUAAGAUGUAGCAAGAGAAAGUUUUGUUUUUAAGGCAUUUUAAAGCUGUAGCAGGCAUAUGCUUCAUUUAAUUCCAAAGAGGCAAAAGCGGCUAGACUCGCACGCACACAGCACAUGCUCCGCUCCAUGGCAUGGCUGGACACCUACACUUCUAAGCAGUCUUAAACUACUCACAGCCAGGCAGGUGGGGGUCUGCGGGAUUUAGUGCCUGACAUUGCUUUUGGGAAGGGGCUGGAGUGAAUGUACUGGGUAUGGGAGGGAAGCAGAAGGAAACAGGACUGUGAGUGAGUGUGCAUGUGUGGAAAUUCAUCAUAACCCUUGAAGCUAGCAAGCGACUGCUGUUGGCCGUGCUUUCCUCAUGCCUGCAGUGUGCAUGUAUCUCCUCACCAUGUUUUCUAGCCUUCACUAAGGAUUCGUCAGAUCUUCAUCUUGCUCAGAUGGCUCAGGAUCGUGUUCCUUUGGCUUACCCACCCGUGCUCCUGGGUUCUAUGGUGUUCCUAUAAUUAUGAAUAGUGCUGCACUGUAAUCUAUCAUAUAGAGCUAUAUGUAUGGAAAUUUUUGAUCAGUUUUUUAAGAGAUGUAUCCUGUUUGCAAAGGCACAAUAAAAUUGCAUCUUCUAGAUUAUAGGCAAUAAAGAUAACAAUAAACCUUAUUUAACAAAUCAGACUGAUACUCUGCUUAUUUGAUUUGGUGGGGAGGAGGA